GGGUUGUGAGGUUAAGCGACUAAGCGUACACGGUGGAUGCCCUGGCAGUCAGAGGCGAUGAAGGACGUGCUAAUCUGCGAUAAGCGUCGGUAAGGUGAUAUGAACCGUUAUAACCGGCGAUUUCCGAAUGGGGAAACCCAGUGUGAUUCGUCACACUAUCAUUAACUGAAUCCAUAGGUUAAUGAGGCGAACCGGGGGAACUGAAACAUCUAAGUACCCCGAGGAAAAGAAAUCAACCGAGAUUCCCCCAGUAGCGGCGAGCGAACGGGGAGCAGCCCAGAGCCUGAAUCAGUGUGUGUGUUAGUGGAAGCGUCUGGAAAGGCGCGCGAUACAGGGUGACAGCCCCGUACACAAAAAUGCACAUGCUGUGAGCUCGAUGAGUAGGGCGGGACACGUGGUAUCCUGUCUGAAUAUGGGGGGACCAUCCUCCAAGGCUAAAUACUCCUGACUGACCGAUAGUGAACCAGUACCGUGAGGGAAAGGCGAAAAGAACCCCGGCGAGGGGAGUGAAAAAGAACCUGAAACCGUGUACGUACAAGCAGUGGGAGCACGCUUAGGCGUGUGACUGCGUACCUUUUGUAUAAUGGGUCAGCGACUUAUAUUCUGUAGCAAGGUUAACCGAAUAGGGGAGCCGAAGGGAAACCGAGUCUUAACUGGGCGUUAAGUUGCAGGGUAUAGACCCGAAACCCGGUGAUCUAGCCAUGGGCAGGUUGAAGGUUGGGUAACACUAACUGGAGGACCGAACCGACUAAUGUUGAAAAAUUAGCGGAUGACUUGUGGCUGGGGGUGAAAGGCCAAUCAAACCGGGAGAUAGCUGGUUCUCCCCGAAAGCUAUUUAGGUAGCGCCUCGUGAAUUCAUCUCCGGGGGUAGAGCACUGUUUCGGCAAGGGGGUCAUCCCGACUUACCAACCCGAUGCAAACUGCGAAUACCGGAGAAUGUUAUCACGGGAGACACACGGCGGGUGCUAACGUCCGUCGUGAAGAGGGAAACAACCCAGACCGCCAGCUAAGGUCCCAAAGUCAUGGUUAAGUGGGAAACGAUGUGGGAAGGCCCAGACAGCCAGGAUGUUGGCUUAGAAGCAGCCAUCAUUUAAAGAAAGCGUAAUAGCUCACUGGUCGAGUCGGCCUGCGCGGAAGAUGUAACGGGGCUAAACCAUGCACCGAAGCUGCGGCAGCGACGCUGAUGCGUUGUUGGGUAGGGGAGCGUUCUGUAAGCCUGCGAAGGUGUGCUGUGAGGCAUGCUGGAGGUAUCAGAAGUGCGAAUGCUGACAUAAGUAACGAUAAAGCGGGUGAAAAGCCCGCUCGCCGGAAGACCAAGGGUUCCUGUCCAACGUUAAUCGGGGCAGGGUGAGUCGACCCCUAAGGCGAGGCCGAAAGGCGUAGUCGAUGGGAAACAGGUUAAUAUUCCUGUACUUGGUGUUACUGCGAAGGGGGGACGGAGAAGGCUAUGUUGGCCGGGCGACGGUUGUCCCGGUUUAAGCGUGUAGGCUGGUUUUCCAGGCAAAUCCGGAAAAUCAAGGCUGAGGCGUGAUGACGAGGCACUACGGUGCUGAAGCAACAAAUGCCCUGCUUCCAGGAAAAGCCUCUAAGCAUCAGGUAACAUCAAAUCGUACCCCAAACCGACACAGGUGGUCAGGUAGAGAAUACCAAGGCGCUUGAGAGAACUCGGGUGAAGGAACUAGGCAAAAUGGUGCCGUAACUUCGGGAGAAGGCACGCUGAUAUGUAGGUGAAGUCCCUUGCGGAUGGAGCUGAAAUCAGUCGAAGAUACCAGCUGGCUGCAACUGUUUAUUAAAAACACAGCACUGUGCAAACACGAAAGUGGACGUAUACGGUGUGACGCCUGCCCGGUGCCGGAAGGUUAAUUGAUGGGGUUAGCGCAAGCGAAGCUCUUGAUCGAAGCCCCGGUAAACGGCGGCCGUAACUAUAACGGUCCUAAGGUAGCGAAAUUCCUUGUCGGGUAAGUUCCGACCUGCACGAAUGGCGUAAUGAUGGCCAGGCUGUCUCCACCCGAGACUCAGUGAAAUUGAACUCGCUGUGAAGAUGCAGUGUACCCGCGGCAAGACGGAAAGACCCCGUGAACCUUUACUAUAGCUUGACACUGAACAUUGAGCCUUGAUGUGUAGGAUAGGUGGGAGGCUUGGAAGUGUGGACGCCAGUCUGCAUGGAGCCGACCUUGAAAUACCACCCUUUAAUGUUUGAUGUUCUAACGUUGACCCGUAAUCCGGGUUGCGGACAGUGUCUGGUGGGUAGUUUGACUGGGGCGGUCUCCUCCUAAAGAGUAACGGAGGAGCACGAAGGUUGGCUAAUCCUGGUCGGACAUCAGGAGGUUAGUGCAAUGGCAUAAGCCAGCUUGACUGCGAGCGUGACGGCGCGAGCAGGUGCGAAAGCAGGUCAUAGUGAUCCGGUGGUUCUGAAUGGAAGGGCCAUCGCUCAACGGAUAAAAGGUACUCCGGGGAUAACAGGCUGAUACCGCCCAAGAGUUCAUAUCGACGGCGGUGUUUGGCACCUCGAUGUCGGCUCAUCACAUCCUGGGGCUGAAGUAGGUCCCAAGGGUAUGGCUGUUCGCCAUUUAAAGUGGUACGCGAGCUGGGUUUAGAACGUCGUGAGACAGUUCGGUCCCUAUCUGCCGUGGGCGCUGGAGAACUGAGGGGGGCUGCUCCUAGUACGAGAGGACCGGAGUGGACGCAUCACUGGUGUUCGGGUUGUCAUGCCAAUGGCACUGCCCGGUAGCUAAAUGCGGAAGAGAUAAGUGCUGAAAGCAUCUAAGCACGAAACUUGCCCCGAGAUGAGUUCUCCCUGACUCCUUGAGAGUCCUGAAGGAACGUUGAAGACGACGACGUUGAUAGGCCGGGUGUGUAAGCGCAGCGAUGCGUUGAGCUAACCGGUACUAAUGAACCGUGAGGCUUAACCUUACAACGCCGAAGGUGUUU
rnacentral:rRNA from 1 species